CUCUCAGUCAGAGAGGAUGUCCAUUCUGCAGCUCUGGGUUGGAUCUCCAGCAGCCACUGUCAGAGUUCCUCUCUCCCAUCCUUCUCCCACUCACUGAGAAGCUCUAUCCAGUGGUUUCCCCAUUCAACCCCUGUUAAGGGACAGGUCAAUUCUCCGAGAGCCUCCACAGUUGUGAAUCUUAACAUCUGAAGGAGUUUCAGGGCAGCCUUUGCUGACACGGGUGUUGCGGACUGGGAACAAGAUAAACUGGAGACAGAGGGAAGAGGAGAGAGGUAAUGGUCUCGGGCUUGACAAGGAAGGAAACAGAUCUACUCACCAUUCGCUUAGAAACCCACCUCUGGACUGUGGGAACAGAGUGCGGAUCAAAACAUUCUCACUCUUUUUGCUGUUGUUCAUUUUGUAUUUUGUUUUCUUAAUUAGUUUUCUUUUUUUUUUUUUGAUCUGAUCUUAUGCAGCAAGAUAAUUGUACAAAUAUGUUUAAAUAUAUUGGAUUUAACAUAUAUUUUAACAUGUUUAACAUAUAUUGGAUUGAUCGUCACCUGGGGAAGGAGGGAAAAAUUUGGAAGACAAGGUUUUGUAGGGGUCAAUGUUGAAAAAUUAUCUAUGCAUAUGUGUUGAAAAUAAAGAUAUUUAAUAAAAAAGAGAGAGAGAGAAAUCCACCUCUGUACUCAUCAGCAGGAAGUUACCAACCACUGUGACUGAUCUCUUCUUCCUUUGAGUCCUUGGUACUAGUGGUGCCUCUAG